rnacentral:rRNA from 1 species
GGGCCCGCACAAGCGGUGGAGCGUGUGGUUUAAUUCGAUGCAACGCGCAGAACCUUACCUGGGCUAGACAACAUCGGACCGCUCUGGAGACAGAGUUUUCCCUUCGGGGACUGGUGGUUCAGGUGCUGCAUGGCUGUCGUCAGCUCGUGUCGUGAGAUGUUGGGUUAAGUCCCGCAACGAGCGCAACCCUUGCCUUUAGUUGCCAUCGGGUAAUGCCGGGCACUCUAGAGGGACUGCCUGCGUUAAGCAGGAGGAAGGUGGGGAUGACGUCAAGUCCUCAUGGCCCUUAUGUCCAGGGCUACACACGUGCUACAAUGGGCGGUACAAAGGGUCGCGAUCCUGCAAAGGGGAGCCAAUCCCAUAAACCGUGGCUCAGUUCAGAUCGUAGGCUGCAACUCGCCUACGUGAAGGAGGAAUCGCUAGUAA